UAUUCUUAUAUUUAAGCAUGAUAUCAACUUAGACUAAAUUGUUUAGCAAACAUUAGAUUCAUACAAACCCAGUAGCGUCAUGGUUCAUAUAUAAAAACGUUUUUAUCAUAUUGUGGUUAAUAGCAAAUGAUAAUAUUAGAAGUUGUUGCCAAAGGUGUUCCAGUAGCUUAGAAGGAUGUAAUGUCCUCCCAAACGAGGGGAGCUGGGCAAAAAGGAUUUUACUGCCUGGAACGAAGCAGCAGCUUCAAAUCAUGUUUGGGGAUCUCAUUUGCAGUAAGACUACUCUUUGGUAGAAGUGGGUCAAGCCUCAAACGAUUGAGUUUUCUGGGGAUUGACCAAACCAUUUGUGGUUCUUGGAUUUGGAGGCACCUGAUAGCUUUGUAAUUUGAUGAAACAACACUGUAGGGUUGGGAUUUUGUCAAGAAAUUCCAGAAUUAGAGAAGAUACUGAAGAAGAGAUCAAAUGGAAGCUUAGUAAUUCUGGUAGAUUCAAAAUAGGUGAUGCCUAUGAAGCCGUGAGAAGAACGGAUAGUAAGGUGCCUGGUUCAAAAGCUGAUUUGAGGAAAUAAUAUACCCAGACACAGCUUCAUCUGUUGGCUGGCCAUGAGAAGAAGAUUAAAAAAAAAAAUUCUAGAUUAAUGAGAUGUAAUGUUGUCCAAGAUGAUAAGCGUGCCUCAUGUGAGAAGGCUCGCGAGACUAUCAAUCAUCCGCAGGCUUGUAAGGUUACUAGAAGUCCAUAUUCUUGGAAGGAAAGUUUCCUGGCUUUUCAGAAAGGUUACCGGCAAAUCUGAAGUUAGCAAAAUCAGAAGAUUUGCUUUCACAUCCCCAUUAUACUUGAUUUGGUUUGCAAUGAACCAGAGUCUUCAAGUCUCUCGUGUUAAUGAGAAACAAGUACAACUGAAAAUUAGAGUGUUUACAGGGUAUGUCUCUGAGAUGCUCGGCAGAUGGAAGUGAAUAGUCUUUUUAUUUCUUGACGUUCGUAACUGGCUCCGAUUUGCUUAAUUAGCAGUGAGUUGUAAUCUUUGUUGUUUGUUUGCUAUUAAUAGAUUUCCUAUAGACGAAUAUAGUUGUGAUAAAA